GCUGUGAGCAGCUUGCAGCAUGGCAGCACAGUGGUAGCCUCUGAAAAUAGAAGGUCAACACAGUCUCCAUCAUACCCUGACUCCUCACACCCAUCUGUGAUUCAUGAGAAAUCUCUGGAAGCCACCGAGUUUAUAAGCCCUGAUAUCCUGGCACUGCCCUGUCUACAUACAAAACACCCUGAAUAAGUGGCACACAGAAGAGAGCAGACCCCUGUUCUCCUCUCACUACCUCCAUGACAGACUGUUCUCUUAGCUCUUUAUAAAUGCUCACCUGGUUUCUCACGGGUCAGAGAACUGCUUGCUGCCUGAAACUCAAUGGCUGCUCAGUACUGAAUACCAAAUGAAUAAACCUUUGCAAAACACCACUUUGAAUGUGGCAACCCCUGACCAGUAACAUUUUAGAAUUCCCCCAAUAUUUUCCCCCAAAGCUUCGAGGACAUCAAGCAAGUGGCAAAUUGUCAAGUGCUGCUCAGAGUAUGGAUGGCCUGACCACUGCCAGGAUGCUAAGUGCCUUCUACUGGUUUACAGCCAGGUGAUCUCAAGUUACAAAAGAAUCAGAGUCUACAAGUUAUGGCCACUUGGACAGGAGAAGCAAAGGAGGACCUUCAAGGUAACCAAAACUCCUUGCAGUUCCUGCCUAAAGAACAUCACUAACUUGGAACAGUCACCCUGAGGAGUCCUCUCUGUUGAACAAUCUGUGGUUUUCAUAUUGGGACAUUUACAUCAUACACCCC
rnacentral:lncRNA from 1 species